rnacentral:rRNA from 1 species
CCUACGGGUGGCAGCAGUAGGGAAUAUUGCUCAAUGGGGGAAACCCUGAUGCAGCAACGCCGCGUGGAGGAUGAAGGUUUUCGGAUUGUAAACUCCUUUUGUUAGAGAAGAUAAUGACGGUAUCUAACGAAUAAGCACCGGCUAACUCCGGGCCAGCAGCCGCGGUAAUACGGAGGGUGAAAGGGUUAAUGGGAAGUACUGGGCGUAAAGAGCGCGUAGGCGGGAUAGCAAGUCAGAAGUGAAAUCCUAUGGCUUAACCAUAGAACUGCAUUUGAAACUGUUAUUCUAGAGUAUGGGAGAGGUAGGUGGAAUUCUUGGUGUAGGGGUAAAAUGCGUAGAGAGCAAGAGGAAUACUCAUUGCGAAGGCGACCUGCUAGACCAUAACUGACGCUGAUGCGCGAAAGUGUGGGUAUCAAACAGGAUUAGAUACCCGAGUAGUC